AGGGAGAGGUGGAAGCUGAAUUGUGAAUCAAAAGAGAGUGAAUUGUCAUUCCAGGCAGAGGAAAUUAAAUGGGCAAAGGUUCUGAGGCAGAGAAUGGCUCUUUGAGUGAGAUAAGGGAGAAUUAGAAUGGUUUCAGAUGGUAAGAAGAUGUCAGAAAAGCUUGAGAGUUGAACAGAGAGGCUCUGGACAGUAGAUGUUCUGGUAUUUUGCAUCUUGUCUAUCAAGACAGAAACCAUCUCUCUAAAUAAUUGCUGUGAACUUGAAGAUGACAGAGUAGAUAGAGUGACCACUGAGUGGAAGGUGUGUUGAGUGAGUGCAUUGAUU
rnacentral:lncRNA from 10 species